rnacentral:miRNA from 1 species
AGCUACAUCUGAAUACUGGGUCA